AGCGAAUAAGUUCCAACUUAAAGAUAGGUGGCGUAUCAAGCAAUUAUAUAAAUCGGCCAAAUGGCCAGCAUGACCGCUUUCAGGGUUCUUUCUGCAUGCAGUCAUAGUCGUAGUGUCUGUUAGUGCGUGAAAAUAAGUGUUAUCGCUCUAUGUAUAUUAUCUGAAUAUUAUUCGUAUAUUAUCCGCGCGUGAGUUUGACGCAUUGUGAUCGACCGUUUCACGUGAUUUAUCUAUACAAUCAAUACUGUUUUUUAUGUAGAGAUCGACAGUGAUCACUGCAGUUAAAGACAUUCGUCGGAUUCUGGCCUUCUAAAAUAUACGUGUCAAAAGCCUCAAAAUAGCGCGCGUUACAUUAAUCUGCACUUUUCUUUACUAUUCUACAUUCUAAAGGGACUAAAUGAGCCGUACCGUCCCAUAUCUCAGAAGACUGGCAAUUUUGGAAUAAAGCUCGGGUGUUUCUGGCCAAUUGUAUCAUAAGUGCUUUCAUAAAUAAAGAGUGUAAUUUUUCGACACCGUAUAUAUAUUCAAGGAGACAACGUGUCAUAUAUUCAAGGAACACGUGUUAUACACAUGCUAUACAGGAUGUCUCAGACUCCCCUCCACAUAUUUUGUGGGGACGGAUUGAGGUGAACAUGAAAAUCCUAUACCGUUUUGAGAUAUUCGCAAUAAUAUGGCUAAUUUUAAAAAUGUGAGAAAGACUCUUUUCUGUAUAUGACAAGUUUAAACGUUGCUGCGUGCAUAGAAAUGAAGGAAGAAUAAACUAUACCUAUAUUACAUUGAAUGAUUCUUUAAGUGCAAUAAGAGCUUUAAAUAAUGAUAAACAAAUAAGUUUGCACGAUAGAAGACUUGACAGUAAAGGCUGCAAAUGAUUAUAAACCUGAUUGUAUAAAAGAUCGCCUGAAAGAAAUCCAGACAUGUCAGGCAUGUCAGGCAUGAAAAAAUUCAGAAAUAUGAUUUCAGAGAUGCAUCUAUUUAUAUGCUGCACGAUGAUUGCUUGUUGUAUAUUUUUCAAUUUUUAUCAAUUUUUUACAAAUAGUGUGCAAACAUUGGAAUUAUAUGUUCGCAAAUGCUAUUUAUCUCGACUAGAGGAUAUGUUACUCAUUAAAGUAGCAAUGAAUUGUCUGCAGAUGUUUGAAUUAUCUUCAGAUUCUUUAGACAAUUUCUCUCUUCUUCAAAAUACACUUCUAGUAUAUUAUAUGGGUGCUCCUACGGGAACAAUGCCGGAGCAGAAGCUAUUGUAAUAUUACCAAAAUUAAAAUAUUUAUUUUUGGAUUGACAUUAUCGAUCGUAUCUUUGAAAACUUAAAAAAGCUAAAAGGAUUGGAAUGUAUAAAGGUACAACAAUAACUAACAAUAGGGUAUGCAAAGUUCUUCCCUUGCAAGAAAGUAAUACUGAUUGGUUAGUAGUAAAUUACUAACCAUAGGAGGAGGAGGGCAUAUUAGGUGGCGGCGGGACGCCGUGCUAGACGCUCGAGAUCUGCGUAUCUUUUCGUUCCAGAAAGAGAAAAAUAUCGAGAAUUCAGUAGUUUUAUUACUAGUGGCAAAUGAAUUUGAGUACUUAAACAAUUUGAGUACAGGGUUAUUAAUGCUACAGAGUAAUUCAGUGAUUACGGUAGUGAUUACGACAGUGAUAAUGUAUUAUUAGGUUCUUCUAAAAUACUAGUGUGAAUUAUUCUCUAAUAACGAGAUGGAUAAACAUCAACUUUUUCAUGAUUAGUAUAAAUUGUUUCAUAUCUUGUAGUAUAAAUUGUUUCAUAUCUUUUCAAACGAAUUUAUUGUUUGCCUUAGUUCGUUAUAAUGUUUGAUUGAAAAUCUAAGAGCAAUCAUAUAGUUUUAAUAGAAUUCGCUGAUAUACAUUAUAAUAUAUAUAUUAGUCACAUUUCGAUUGUCGUUGCAUUGUUUGUAUUGUCAAUAAAUAUGUCAUUAUUUAUUGUUUGAACGAUACAAGAGCAUAUUAUAAUUAUAAUUCAAUAAGGUAUUGUCACAUUUCAUGAGUUUUAGUUCGAUUAUUUAGGUUAACCAGUGAAUAACACGAUAUGAGAAAAAAUAGGGGUAAUCACUACAAGAUCAAAAUCACAUAGCGACGCAAAAUAUGAAAUGCUAAGUUUUUAUUAUUUAAACAAAAUAAUCAAUAAUCAAUAUUAGACUAUUCUAUUCUGAUAGGUUAAUAUGUGGAAAUUAAACAGAAAAUGUACCAUAUAUAAUAAUUUGCCAAAUAAUCACUGAAUCACUGACUAAUCACUACUAUUUCUUUAGUAAUUUCUUUAGUAAUACUUUUCUAUAAGAAUUGCAUCUUUACCUCAAUUACAACUAGUAAGUCUUUUCUGCUAUGAACAGUAUGACAUGAUUAUGUCAUACUUACGAGAUUGCUAAAUUAAUUUGCGAUAAUCGACAUACAAGGAACCCCACGUAGGUGGUUACCUCCGAUUUGAAUGAGCUUGAAAUAUAUUGUAAUCUAGGCCAAAAGAGGAGACACGUAUUUUUUUAUACAUGCCCAAGCGGACUUUUAGGAGACAAAAUAUCCCUUUGAAAAAAAUACGUGUCUCCUCUUUUGGUCUAGAUUACAACAUAUUUCAAACUCAUCCAAAUCGGAGAUAAUCAUCUACGUGGGGCUCCUUGUUAGUAAGAGGUGGUAUAAAAAGUAUUAUCAGUAAUAUUUUCCUAUAAGAGUUGUAUCUUCACCUCUCAAUUAUAACUACUAAAUCUUUUCUGCUAUGAAUAGUAUGACAUGAUUAUGUCAUACUUACGAAGUUGCUAAAUUAAUUUGCGAUAGUCAGCCUAGUAAGAGAUGCUAUUAAAAGUACAUGUUUAUAUUACACAAACAGAGUCGAUAGAAUUAAGUAAUACAUCUACUGUAUAAUUUUAUAUAUGUAUGUAUACCGAAUGUGCGCGUGCGCGGCGCAGAACAGAAACCUCUAUUAUAGCGAAUUCGGUUGCUUGCACUAGUACGCACUGAGUGUGCACUAAGGCUUCAUAGUAUAUUAUAUUUAUAGAUUGUCUUAAGUAAAUUCUUAAAUAUUUUUAACCAAUAAUAUGAUAUGUAAAACGUCCAUACGAAUCAUUUUAGCUAAAAUGUUUUUAAAUAUGUAUUUAAGACACGAUCUUAAAUAAGAAUGUACUGUAAACAUGCCUUAACGCGCACUCAGUGCGCACUAGUGCAAGUUACCGAAUUCGCUAUUAGACAUCUAUGAUGGAAAUCGAAAAUAUCCAUUAAACGUUCUUGUAACUUCCAGCAAAUGUUUAUUAGAAAUUUACAGUUCCAAGUUUCAUAUGUCUAUUGAAAGUUUUGACUUAACUGCCGUCACGAAAGAACGUAUUUAAGCUUAUUCAGACUUGAUCUGCGAUUUUUUAGAUAUACUUUGGAUUAUUUUCAAAGACUAUAAAAUUUAACUUAUUAACGGAUAGUAGCAAUAUACCAAACAAGCAAUAUUCACUACUUAAAUAAGACUAGUUAAUAAGACUAAUGGUUAAUGGGUAUUCAGAUAGUACAGAGAAUUCAAAAAGAAUUCGAAAAGAAUUCAGUCGUAUGACACAAAUUCUGAGUUUAUUUUCAGAAAAGAAUUCUUCAGAGUUCAGUUCAGUGAAAAGAAUUCUUUUUGCACCAAAAAGUGAAUUAGUGACAUAUGACAGAAUUCUUUUUGAAUUCUCUGUGCUCUCUCGGUAGUCUCGGGAUGUACGAAAAAGAGAAGGAGAAUGUGACUAUUAUCGUCUAAUAGAUAUGUUAUAUGGAUAUAUCCUAUAAAGAAACAUAGAAAUUUCCGAUUAAUGAAUAAUUUUGGUGUGUCAUUGCACAAUCUUAAAAUAUGUUUUAUUCUAGUCCAAAAUAAGGGAUAUAUUUUUUUUUUAUACAUGCUGUCUUUUAGUCCGUCUUUUAGACCUUAGAGUUUAGAAGUGAAACACUCUUUUGAAAAAAAAUCGGUAUUUUUCUUUCGAAAUAUAUUUUGUCAAAAGGAGAUAGAAAAAAAAUUUCUAAAUAAAAAUUAAAUAUUUUAUAGAGUACAUUGUAAUAAUGUUUUCAGUUUUAUUAAAACUUAUUAUUUUAAAUAUUAUUUUAAAUUAUUUUAUAUAUAACAAAAAUAUAUAUAUAAAAUAUAUAUAAAAUAAUAAAGUUAAAUAAUAUGUAAGAACAAAAUAUUUAGGAACAAAAAAUUAGUGAGUGAUAAAAUAUCAUACAAACACACACACACACACACACACACACACACACACACACACACACACAUAUAUAUAUAUAUAUAUAUUUUUUUUUAUCACUCACUAAUUUUUUUAUAAUCUAAAUAUUUUGUUCCUACCAACUGAAAGAAUAUUUUAUGCUGCAUCUAACUAUAUAUAAUAAUGUCAUUUUCACGGACUUUUGAGAAAUAAGUAGGAACACCUCCAUAUAUCCGUAACGCUAUCCGUAGUCGCCUAUUCCACUUAAUAUGUAUACGCAACGUGUCCUCUUUGUACUUCCUCAUUAGUAAGAAACAAUUAAUACUAAUAUGCAGAAUAUGUAACCAUAAAACAACACAUUUUUAAUGUAUAACAACACACAACAACAACAACAACAACAAUAAUACUAAUUUAUAUACAACAAUAAUACAACAAUAAUACUAAUUGUUUUAUAUACAAUAGUUGUAUAUUCCCAUACUUUGUCUUUAUGAAAAUACGGUUAUAUAUUAAUUAUACGGUUAUACGGUAUAUAUAUAUAUACGGUUUAUAUACGGUAUAUAUACGGUUUCUGGAAAUGAAAUUUUAUUUAUAAAAUUUUAUUGGUGCGUCUUAAUUUUGCAAUGUGUGACAUAACUAUUACGACGAAGCGAAAUACACGAAUUGCAAUAUCAUUCAUUUGUUUAUUAACGCGAAAUUUCCACUAAAUUCAUUAUAUAUGCUGAAAACAUUGCAUAUAUUAAUGAGAUCAUGCGUUACAUAAUGGUAUAUACUAUAAUGCGUCAUAUAAUGGUAUAUAAUAUUCAUUUGUUUAUUCAUUCAUUUGUUUAUUAACGCGAAAUUUCCACUAAUUUCAUUAUAUAUGCUGAAAACAUUGCAUAUAUUAAUGAGAUCAUGCGUUACAUAAUGGUAUAUACUAUAAUGCGUUAUAUAAUGGUAUAUAAUAUAAUAUUUAUUUUAAUUGUAAAUAUCCAACAUGUCUAUGCCAUAUCCGAUAUGGCGAUUCAUCGUCGUUUUUCCGUCUUAUUUUAUUUCCAUUUUGUUUAUCGUUAGUUCAGUUAUAGAUAUAAUAAAAGUUUAAUAAUAAGCUAUAUAAAGCUAUGUGAAGCUAUGUGAAAUUGCUGUGUAAGAUGCAGAAGUGUUCAAAGUGCAGGAAAAAAGUUGUUAGCCACGUUUGUGCAAUGCAAGUGAGUAAGUAUGAUGUACAUAUAUAUUAUAUAUAAUCAAUAGUAUAAUAGCUAACAUUUCACAGUGAGCGUCAAUAUGUUUCAUCGUUUUACAACGUAUUAUUCGUGACUGCAAGCUUGUAUGUGCAUAUCACUAUAUUUAAAAUUUCUUUUAAUAUUAAUAUUUUUCACAUAACUUUUUGUUUAUUUACUUUUUGUUUAAUCAUUAUUUUUAUUAUAGUAUUGUAAAGAAACGUUUCGUGGUUCAUUGCAUUAUCUUUAUAAGCCAUGUAAUACAGAUAUCAAAAAAUUUUGUCCCUAUAUCACAUAAUGUUAUUCUAUUGAAUAAAUGUUCUCUAUGAAACAUAUAUUUCACACAAAAUCAGAUCUUACAAAAAGUGGUACAAAAUUUUAUAAAUAUGUUGUAUCUAAUGAUAAGACGUUAUUAUAUUUUGAGUAUUAUGACUAAUUAUAUUUGAAACAUAAGAAUAUAUAUAAUGUUUAUAAUUUUAAAAUGCUAUUCAAUUCGAUCAACGUAGUAAUACUGCUAUAUACAGAAUUUCCCUUAUAGAAAUUUAAUACUGAUAAAUGAUAAUUUGGCCAGUGAUAAUUACUGUUGUUCAAUAAUUUUAUUACUCGUACGAAUAAUAAAAUUACUAUUUAUUAUUGGCUAAUUUAUCACAGCCAGUGAUACUUUUCUAUAAAAGUUAUAUCUUUAAAUUUAUCUGAAAUUUCUAUUACGUAAAAGAAAUGACAUAUGUAGACAAUCAAAUUGUAAUAAAGUAUAAAAAAUAUAGUCAGAAUAAGAAAUAUAGUGUUUUGGAAUUCGAUUAAGGGGAGUAAGAAAAGAUCGCUGGAGAACGGUAAACGUAGAUUCAAAGUGAUAUCUGUACGACGAUUGUGACGAUAACACAAGUAAUAGAACAAGUGCGCAGAAGCGGGUAGGAUUAAAUUGAAGAAACUAAAAUAAAUUUUAUUACAGAAAUUUUCAAACACCUCUGGACAAAGAAAUAUUAAUCCAUGACAUCAAUAUUGCUGGAUGGGCCUUUGAAGUGUAAGAAGAAAUAAAUGUUCCAGAAUGUACAACUUCAUGUGAAUGAGUAAGAAAUUCUUAUCACCUCUUUUUUCUGUUAUGUUAAAAGAAUCUAUAAUAAAAUUUGGUUCGAGAAUGCAAGAAAUAAUGUUUAAAGAAAAUUAUAUUUUUGUUAUAAUCGAUUAAAGAAAAUUAUAUUUUUGUUAUAAACGAAAUCCGGAAAAUUAACAUUAUAUUAUUUUCAGGUUUGGUGAAGAGAUCUAUUUUCCAAAUUUGGUCUUAAAUUUUAUUGUUGAAUUCAUGGACUGCUCACAGUUCGUAUGUAAUUCAAAGAAAUAGGCCAAAUUCUGCAGAAAAUAUCAUUUUUACUAUACUUGCAGGAACAACAGACUAAAAACAACUGUUAGAUGUUUACGAUUCUCGAUUAUGGAAAAAUUUUAUAAAACAUUUAUAUAUAUAUGUAAACAAUCAAAUUGCAAUCCUAUCAGAAACAGUGCGUGUUAAUUAAAUCUCGCAUGUAUCGAAGUUACAGCGAUAAACGUAGAUUCAAAGUGAUAUCUGUACGACGAUUGUGACGAUAGCACAAGUAAUAGAACAAGUGCGUAGAAGCGGGUGGGAUUAAAUUGAAGAAACUAAAAUAAAUUUUAUUACAGAAAUUUUCAAACACCUCUGGACAAAGAAAUAUUAAUCCAUGACAUCAAUAUUGCUGGAUGGGCCUUUGAAGUGUAAGAAGAAAUAAAUGUUCCAGAAUGUACAACUUCAUGUGAAUGAGUUUGGUGAAGAGAUCUAUAUUCCAAAUUUGGUCUUACAUUUUAUUGUUGAAUUCAUGGACUGCUCACAGUUCGUAUGUAAUUCAAAAAAAUAGGCCAGAUUCUGCAGAAAAUAUCAUUUUUACUAUACUUGCAGGAACAACAGACUAAAAACAGUUAGAUGUUUACGAUUUUCGAUUAUGGAAAAAUUUUAGAAAACAUUUUUAGAUUAGAAAAUGCUAUCAGAUUUAGGAAUAAAACUUUUAUUAUAUGUAUUCCAUAUAUUUUCAAUACUUACAAUAAAUAUUGGAAUGCAAAUAAAUAAAGUGGAAACUUAAUAAAUCAAGUGGAAAUUUAGCGUUAAUAAAUAUAACCGAAUUUUUGCAACUCGUGUAUCGCUUUUGUCGUGGUAAUUACGUCAUACACUAUAAAAAUAGAUGCACAAACUUCUCAUAAAUAAAUUUUUAUUUUCAGAAAUCGUAUAUAUACCUUUUUAUAAAGACAAAGUAUUGGAAUAUAUAACUAAUUUAUAACUCAUUGUUGUGUUGUGUGUAUGUGUUAUAUAUUGAAACGUUUUAUAAUUACAUAUUCUGCAUAUUGAUACUAUUUGUUUCUUAAUAUGAUUUCGAAGAAGACAUGUUGUAUAUAUGUAUCGAGUAAUAUAGGCGACUCCCUUAUAGAAAUAUCAUACUAAGAAUCAUUGAUAAUUAUUUAUUUUCAGUAUUAAAAAUACUGGAUAAUAAGUAAUUAUCAAUGAUUCUUAGUAUGAUAUUUCUAUAAGAGCUACGGAUAAUGUUACGGGUAUAUAGAGGUAUUCUUAUUUAUUUUUCGAAAAGUCCAUAUAUCAGGAAAUAACAUUAUUAUAUAUGGUUUGAUUCGACAUAAAAUAUUCUUUUAUUUGGUAGAAAUCAAAUCAAAAGGAAUGGUAAAUUUUUGGUAAAUAAAUUUUGGUAAAUUUUUAGAUUAUAAAAAAAUUGGUGAAUGUUGAGGAUAUGUUUAAAAUUAUAAGUUUUGAGAAAAAAUUGAGAACAUCAUUACAAACUCUUCCAACCAUUUAAUUUUUAUUUGUUUCUAUGUCUUAUAUUUUUGACGAAACAUACUUCGAAAGAAAAAUACCGAUUUUUAUCAAAAGGAUGUUUUACUUCCUAAAAGAUGAUUGAGCAAAAAAACGUAUCCCUUAUUUUGUUAUCUAAAUUACAAUAUAUUUUAAGCUCAUCAAAAUCGGAGGCAGACGUUUUCAUAUGUUUCAUUGUCAGUUAUAUGGAAAUAUAUUGAGAUGCAUGGGACAUUUCACAUAGCUAACGUAAAUAAACAGUUACUGGAUUAAUUUAUGUUGAUAUACAAGGUAAUAUGUAUCUCUUUUACAAGGAACGAAUCGGAACUGUCCCUCAUUGAUUUUGAUGCGCAUUGGAUAUUUUGUAGAACAUCAAAAACUAUUCGACACGUAUUUUUUUUAUAUGGUCUUAUCUCGACGUUUAGGAGUUGAAACCACUCCUCGAAAAAAACUUUUUCGUUUUUACUAAAUAUUUUUUAAAAUAUGAUGUAUAUGAAAAAGUAUUAAAUGUAAACGUUUAGUAUUUUAUACUCUUAUAGUUAUAGUAUUUUAUGCUCUUUACAUCGGUCUAUUCAAAUUUUUCAAAAUAUCAAAUUUUACCUCCUCCCCUUUCUCUCUGCUCACACUUGUUAUUUUCACAAAUUUUGAAAUUUUUGUAAAGACAAAAAUUAAGGAGCAUUGAAUACAAAAUUCAUCCAUAUAUAAUAAUGUUAUAGUUUCUUGAUUCUAUUUUUGGAAAAACGCGAUGAUAGAAUCGUGCUAUAUGCGCCACGCUGCGCGGUGCCUGUAUUGUUACAUUGUAUUCUCUUUAGUUGCAUUAUGCUUGAUUACUAUUUGCAUAUUUUCUCAUACUACAAGAUGAAAAUUAAUCCUAAUAAUUAAUCCUAAUGAAAAUUAAUCCUAAUAAUAUGUAAUGUAUUACACAAAAUAAAAACGUGAACACAAAUAAAUGUGGAUAUGUAACAACAAUAGUAAUAGUGUGUUGCAUUGCUAUUUGUUUUCUUAUUUGGCGUAUUCGGUAAUUUAUUUGACAGUUAGAAAUAAAUUGCUAAUCUCCUUGGUCUUUACCUUGACUUCUUUAAUCAAUAAAAAAUUUUUACAAAACAACUCGUCUAUAUAUAAUAUUUUGAAGCGCGCGCUAGCAAUACAUUUAUAUUAUUAAAAUUAACAAUGUAACACACAUACAAUAGAUUUCCACAUCACCCAAAGUGUACUUUACCAACGCGUUUUUUUUUUUAUUGAUUAUCAGAACAUUUGCAAAAGAGAGCGGCCAAGAUGUGCCUAUAUUCCCGGCAGUUCAAUAUGGGGUCGAUAUAUACAGGGUAUAGCAAAAGUACCGGAAUAGCAAGAAAACUCGGCGGGG